UGCGUAAACAGAAUGGUCUUCACUCGGAUAUGCGUCGGUGGAACGGUGUGCAAUACCAGCAGGUCUGGAAGAUCUGCACAAAUGGUAAUCGUCGGUGCGAGCGUUUUUGAAGAUGGAAAACACGGGUCACGGAAUUCCACAUUUGGAUGCUCAUCUGAGAUGAAGGAACCACACACGGCUGGUGAGAUGGAAAUUCGUGGAUGAAUGAAUGCGUCUUCAACGUAGGAAAGGUCACGUUUACCACUUUAUUACUGCAAGGAUAUGCUUCAACUAAAUAACCGCAUCAACUGAAUAAGAAAUUCAAUAUAUAUUGGAUCAGGAUCUCCAGAGAGGCAAUAAAAAAAAAGUUGUGAAGUAGAUAACGGGCUCGCGAUACUCCAAUCCCCGGGGACACUUUAAUUCCGACGAGGAUAGAAAGAGGCUGAAAGUAUCCGAAGAACUUUGAACAAUCGUCAUGAAUGAACAGUACAGCACUGAUACGUUGGGAUUAAGACAACGUUAUUGCUUUCUCAACGCACACAAUUUAUCACUUCGCCAGAGUGUUGCUGGAGAAUAAGAGCUUGAAGAGCUUUAUAUAGUUCCUCAACGCAUCGUUCCGGUCGCAAGGUACCGCAUGACACAGCCGAUCGCUCGAACAACCUGCUCCAUUUCUUCAACGCUAAAUAAUAGAUGCGGCAAGUAGUGGAAAGCUCGCGGAAAAUUCAUCCCACGAAAUAUGUAGCUUGGACGAGAGAAAGGAGAAUAGAAUUUGUUUAGUCCAUCAGCUUAGGUGGGUUCGGUUAUCAGAGAUACUUAGAGACGAGGAUUGAUCAUAUCUACGAAUGAAUGAUUCAGGAAAGACUUGUGGGAUCGAGAUUCCUAAAUCCAAUAACAGAAGGAAUCGUGGUAGCACGGACGUCGAAAGAUCACUGUUCAGGUUCUGAAGGAGGAUACACAAUAACCGAGUGCAGCGAUAUAAUGGAAUUUUCGCGUGAUGGAAUUUAAUAAAAUUACUUAAGCAACCAAAGGAAGCGAAUUUAAUACGAUGCGAUGGUAUAAAGAGAUAGCUGAAUACAAAGGGCGUAUCUCGUAUCGGAGUCCAGGGCAACGUUACACGAACUUGCUUUAUAGCCUAUUGUUGGAGUAUUGUUUCAGACCAUGAUGUUCAUCGUACGACAAAAUCGUGCGAGAGAAUCUAUAGCUCAUCGUAAUUGUUGUCGCGUUCCCUGCUCGUUGCAGCUCCGUUAACGAUGACUCCCGUUCGUUGCUCGUUAAAACAACGCUGUGGAAAAGAAAGACUACUCCUUCGAGCCUGCGUUACGGUAACACCAACGUGUUAGGACUAUAGGUGGUUCCAAAAUGCAAUACAAAAGGUUAACGAGGACGUCAAGCAAUUUGAAUUAAUCAACGAACGAAAGCCACCAUGAUGGCAUGAAUCAUUUAUUCAACGAAGAGACAAUCCAGUUUUCGGUCCAGUUACUGAUCAACCGGUGGUAACGCGUGUCAUCCCAAAUAGACUAACAAGAGUUUAUAAGAACUCGAUCAAACCGCAGGGGCAUUAUACUCGUGUACGCGGGCACAGUUGCACGGAAAUAACGUUUCGCUCGUUUAUCAUGGUCCCUUGCACGUGCACACACGUGUAACCACCGUGCGGCAGUGUGCAAGCUUGCAUUUUGCGUUUCUGUCCUGUUGCGAUGUACCUAGAUGGUCACACGACCAAGGUAGCUCUCAGCCGGUGACCAAAUCGCAUUAUCUUACAACGUGUUGUUGCACACUGUUAUCGUACGUUAACUUAUUUCUCGGUUCUCAACUCCGUUCGAAAAUGUCCUCAAGUUGAACUGCACGCUGUCAUGUCCCCGGUGCAUCAAGUUCGCGUCGCGUCAAAGAGAACUCAAAGUAACGUUAUUUUUCUAGGAUAACUGGUACGAGAGGGGUUGUUGGUGAAAUGCUGCUGCGAAGAAAGAGAAGAUACCUCGGUGAACAUUGUAGAGAUGGAAAAAAAACUAACGUCCAUGUUGGGAGACGUAAAUGAGAGUCGUGUACGCGAGUACUUUCGCCGGAAGUACGGUAGAAACCAAAGAGAGCGAGCUGAACAUAACAGAUUAAUGACGGUGCGCCUCGUAACGAACAACAUCUUCUGCCGCUAUAAUAAUUAUCUUCAACUUUUCCAACUCGUCUUACGCCACAUUUGGAUCCCCGCCAACGACGUAAGGGCUACGAACUGUUUUACACUGUAAGUGGUACAGUAGACACAAAGAAGAGAAAGAAGAAUUGGAACCACGAACACGUAACACCAGGCCGUGAAAGCGUCAGAUCAAGCACUGUUUCGCGGGAAAACGCGUGCUGUGGUGGACGGUCGAGGAGGAGUUUCGACGGUGCGCGUCGCGACGACGGGCAACCGGGGGUUCCGAUUCGGGACAGGGAUGUGAACGCGACGACGGACUCUGCGAAACUGAGGUAUGUACGUCGAUUUAACGAGCGCGUAGGUGCACUCCGAUGCUUCGACCAGGUUCCUCCUUCCAAUGUUUCUCACGUUCGAAUUAGCUGUAUUUUGUCAGAACACCCUUUAACACGUUCAACGUUGUGGAUGUGACAAGUUGAACUCGAUUACAAUCGAGUAACUGAAAGGAAAAGAAAAAAUGAAGUAAAUUUUGUAAAAUGACAAGAUGAAAAUUUACAUGAACAACAAAUUCCUUCUUCUCAUUUAAUAAAAUUAAAUUAAAUUCAAGCAAUUUGUCACAGAACACGCAUUACUCUUCUUCACGUCUACUCGUAGGCGUUCGCGAACAUAAAUUGUCCGGAGAUAAAGUGUUGAAAAAUCGAAAAAGUUGUUGAAAGAUUUAUUAAAAAUGUGCGCCUCGUGGGUGAGCCGUUUAUCUCGCAACUAAUCAGGGUAAAGUUGCUGUUGCUUCGAACAGCUACAUUUGCUGUGCUUGUUUCGUUGAACAAACAACGUGUUCGUUUCGAGGUACUUCUCUUCAUUUACUAUCGCCUAGGUAGUACAAAGUCUAUUUAUUUUCCUGGAUAAAUCCAGCCGGCUAGAAUUAAAUUCCAAUCUCGUCUUUACGAGUGUGCGCCACGAUUUCAAUCAGAAUUGCUUCCACAAGGAAUCAGAGGUACCUAAAGAAAAGCAUAAGUUCGAUCAGAAGUCAAUGAAAUCGUAAAUAGCCACUGUCUUAGACGAAAAAAAAAAACAAAUAAGAAAAGGUUAAGACGAUGCUACCCCAAGGGAUUUUACGAUAGAAGAUUUUAAGCUUACUCCUUGAUAGCUGGCGCAGUCGUGCUUGCAGUCGAGAUUCUUCGAAAAUAAAAGGUUUCCGGAGGAGUAUUAAAUUCCGGUAGAAAAUACCUUUCUAGGGUCUCAGAUAGCGCGUGAGUUACUCCGAGAUGAAGAAAGUUCAAGGAUUUUCAAAGGGGUGCAGAGAUUUUACCCCGUGUACACAUGUUUCUUCGUUACCCUUGAUCGCAUCUUCCUUUACAUCAUUCCCUCAAACGCUUGCAACUUGCUAGUAUAUUUCAUUGUUAGUCGUUUUACAACUCACGUAACAUGUACUUUUAUCCUCUGUAAUGUUACUUACGAGCAGUUGUCUAUAAAUACAGAAUCUGAUAUUGCCUCAGUGGAACAAAAGUCAACAAUUUCCUCGACUCGUUACAAGUUAUUGGUACACCUUUUUUUGAAUUUCAAAGCGAACGAGAAAUACGAUAGCGCUUUUCCUUUCGACGGAAAGGGAAGCUUGUGUUUUUCAGAAAGUAUCAGGCAGACGAUCUUAUUUGCAUAAAACUAACGCCUCAUUGUCGUGAUUGUACGUCCGAGGAUAAAAUAAAUGCGAGCAAAGGAUCGAUCGUCGCUUCUCUACAAAAGUUGCCACGAUAUUUAGAUCGUUCCACGCAGACGGUGUGCAUACACAAGUUGUACCAGCUAUGAUUAAUGAGAUCAAAGUAACUUGUUGUUAGUCAACGUGCCUCUACUUUGUAUAAAUAUGCAACGAGUCGCGAGCGUGCGACAAAUUGAAACUGAUCUUUACACUGACCACCGCAUACUUUUAUGGGAUAUAUUACUUUCAUGACUUUACAUUUCGUUUUUUUAUCCUCAUAAAUCCGUCUAAGAAGAAAUUUCUAAAUUGAAGAAGCUGUAAUUGUAAUUGUCGUAUAAUAGAAUAGAUAAAAAAAGAUAAGAUACAAAUCGUUAAAAGUAUUCAACAGUUUGAUGUUUUUCAUUUCAACAAGUUCCUGUUUUGCUUUGCGUAGUUUCCUAUUAUUUUUUUUUAAAUAAUAAACAUGCAAAACGGAAAACGGAGUUUACACACGACUAAUUAAAUUGCUUCAUGCGAGUGCAAUCCAAAUAUUUUUCUUUCUUUUUUCAUAUUUCAUCGAUUUUUCAAAGUAGGUAAAGUAAAGAAAACAUGUUUUGAAGACUUCUAUAGUAUGGUAGAAGUAUGGAAUAUAAAAAUAGGUCAGAGAAUAAUCGAAAUGGUUGGUCUCUUAUAAAGGUUGUGAAGUUCCUUUUAGAAGAACUUUAAAGAGUGAUAAAUUUAUGAGGUUUCAACCAUUCUGUUACUGCAAGAUAUCUAACAAUAUGUACAUGUAUUUUUUUGUUAAAAACUAAAC